CUCCCUCGCUCUCCUCGCCCUCCGCCCCGGCCCCGGCCCCGCGCCCGCCAUGGAGAAGACUGAGCUGAUCCAGAAGGCCAAGCUGGCCGAGCAGGCCGAGCGCUACGACGACAUGGCCACCUGCAUGAAGGCGGUGACCGAGCAGGGCGCCGAGCUGUCCAACGAGGAGCGCAACCUGCUCUCCGUGGCCUACAAGAACGUGGUCGGGGGCCGCAGGUCCGCCUGGAGGGUCAUCUCGAGCAUCGAGCAGAAGACCGACACCUCCGACAAGAAGUUGCAGCUGAUUAAGGACUAUCGGGAGAAAGUGGAGUCCGAGCUGAGAUCCAUCUGCACCACGGUCCUGU